GCACAGCUGAGAGAGAGAGGGGGAGGACAACAGAGAGAAAGAGAGAGAGCUUGCUUCUUUGUGCUGGUGCGUUUUGAAGGAGUUUCAAGAAAGGAAAAUGGAAGAUCAUCAAGAGGCUAUCAAAUUAAAGAUUAAAGGUGGACGUCCGAGGCCUUAUAUCGACUUAACCCACUGUGAACAAACUAAGCAACAAGGAUAGAGAAAGUCUCGGAGUCUACCCGUGUCAGCCUUUUGAAGAGCUUUCGGAAUGGACCAAGUUAGGCUUGAGUAGAGCCAAAAAAAUCA